GCAGGCAGUUCCUGGCUGUGAUACUCCAGUUGAGGGUGUCUGACUGACAGCAUGUUGGCACCAGCAUUGAAGGAAUUGAUGGGCUUCGGCUCCUGGUUCCUGUCCUGAGACCACAGCAGGAUGUGCCUUGGACAAAGGCUUGGACUCCUGGAUCGUCUGGUGACUUCAAAUAUCUGGU